rnacentral:rRNA from 1 species
UACGAAGGGGGCAAGCGUUGUUCGGAAUUACUGGGCGUAAAGGGCGCGCAGGCGGCCAGACAAGUCAGAUGUGAAAGCCCCGGGCUCAACCUGGGAAUAGCAUUUGGGACUGUUUGGCUAGAGAUCGGGAGAGGAGAGUGGAAUUCCCAGUGUAGAGGUGAAAGUCGUAGAUAUUGGGAAGAACACCAGUGGCGAAGGCGGCUCACUGGCCCGGUACUGACGCUGAGGUGCGAAAGCGUGGGGAGCAAACAGG